rnacentral:rRNA from 1 species
AUUGAACGCUGGCGGCAGGCCUAACACAUGCAAGUCGAGCGGAUGAAGGGAGCUUGCUCCUGGAUUCAGCGGCGGACGGGUGAGUAAUGCCCAGGAAUCUGCCUGGUAGUGGGGGAUAACGUCCGGAAACGGGCGCUAAUACCGCCUACGUCCUGAGGGAGAAAGUGGGGGAUCUUCGGACCUCACGCUAUCAGCUGAGCCUAGGUCGGAUUAGCUAGUUGGUGGGGUAAAGGCCUACCAAGGCGACGAUCCGUAACUGGUCUGAGAGGAUGAUCAGUCACACUGGAACUGAGACACGGUCCAGACUCCUACGGGAGGCAGCAGUGGGGAAUAUUGGACGAUGGGCGAAAGCCUGAUCCAGCCAUGCCGCGUGUGUGAAGAAGGUCUUCGGAUUGUAAAGCACUUUAAGUUGGGAGGAAGGGCAGUAAGUUAAUACCUUGCUGUUUUGACGUUACCAACAGAAUAAGCACCGGCUAACUUCGUG